AAAGCAAAGCUUCUGAAUGUUGAGCCCCCAUCCUUCUUUGACAUCAUAGAAUACUGGUAGCCAGGCCUGUGUUUAUGUCCUCCCUGGGUCCGAAUGGAAGAAUCUUCUCUAAGGAAUCUGAUGCCAAAGAGUAAAGACCCAAAGAUAAUGACAUAGGUGGCUUCCUAUAAUAUUGCUCAGCAAGAUUGUCCUACAGGGAAGCACAAAGUCAACAAGCUCCACCUAUGAGCUCAGAACUCCCAGUUAAUUAUUUUAUGCCCCGUUUUAUAACGAGUGCAGAAGUGUUCGUCAGGCAUAUUCAGAAAACCCCUAACCUGAGACACCAAAACAAACAGAAAAAUCAACUAUGAAUUCUACUCAUGGUUGGAAGGUAGAAAACCUGUAACAAAGUGAACACCUGGCAUUGUCUGCACAAGACUACAAAUACCAGCUAUUGCCUGCAGAAUAGAUGAGGCAAGUUUCCUUCCGGGGCUUACUCAAUGAUGUAAGCUAUGACAUAGUCUGAAAAAAGUCUUCAGGAAUGGUUUUCCCUGAAUCCCAGCUCAGGAAGCAUGUUGCUAGCACCUUGCUGGACAUGGAGGAGAGAAUUUGGGUCAGUAUCUUGUCAUUUCUGUAUGUCUUCACUGACAUCAAGUAAGUGUCCCUUUUGGUGGCAAAUUCCCACACGCUUUUAUCUUUCUCAUCUUUUAUUAGGCUUACAAUGACCACAAUCAAGGGACAGAACCCUCUGAAAGCCUUUCUGAAACUGAUACCAGCUGGAUGUCAGAGUUCACAGGACUCCAGGAUAAUAAAGUUCCUGAGUUGGAUUUUAUGAUUUGCCCAUUGAAUCUGGUCUGCUAUGAUCACUGGAGAUUAUAUAUAUAUAUUUUUUAAAAGAAAGAGUAGAAAUGCAUAAAUAUAUAAAUGUUUAGCUGCAAUACUGCCCAGAUGUUUGGCUACCCACACACAUAGCCUGAGUCAGGUUCUAAAUUUCCCUGUAGCUGGACCCAAGGGCUCAAAAUCCCAAACCAGGAACCUUCCAACUUACUAGUUCUGCCAUUUCGUUAACUUAAGUCUAAAAGCACCUGAGUUCAUUCUGAAAUAUUCAUAUUUUAGAGAAUUCUAAAAUAUGUGGUCGCUUCCAGAACAAAUUAAAGAAACUUACCAAGACUGUUCAGAAGCAUUUUCAACUCUGUUCCGAGUUCUCUAUACUUUAUUAGACUGAGAGAUGUUACCCUUUUUAAAUUUCAUAUUUGUAUUUCCAUACCUUAGCAAACAUUGGUAUUUACUUGGGAAGAACUACAUCAUAUAUUUGGAAAUAGUUUCAUUCUUCUUCACUAGUAUGCAUGUAUUAUUAUUAUUGCUAUAUUAUUGGUAGAGAGACUUGGGAAUGUUUUUUGAAAUUUAAAUUUUAAUCUUGGGGCUUGGGUUAAGUUGAGCAGG